AGCCUCUUGUGGUUCAUAAGCAUGAUAAUUGGGCUUUCCCAUCAUUCUAUGAAAUGUGCCUUGCUCAAAUCUUGUUAGGAUGUCAGCUCAUUACCUGACUGAUG
rfam:Fukomys damarensis contig139549, whole genome shotgun sequence.